GUCAAUAUUUAUAUAAAAGGAUGACAUGAUUUAUCUUACAACAUCACGAAGAUCAUGUCAAUGUGUAUGUGUCGGUUGUUUGCGUGCAGAAAUGAUAAUUUACAAUAACUGACCAUUUCACAUGAAAAAUAUUUGUCUAAUUUGACCAAUGUCGUCAAAGUAUAGCCUUCUAAAUCUGAUAUGUAUAUAUGGAAUAGCCGAGGUGCAAGUGAAAAUGGAAUAAGAUUUGGUUCAGAGAGUUUUGAAUCACAAGAUA
rnacentral:lncRNA from 1 species